AGCUCUGCACAGUGGCGGCAUCGUGGCCAAUGAAGUUUAUCCGAGGUAUGAUUAUUGCUAACUGGAAACUGUUCCUGAAUUUCUUUAAAAAAAGUAAAACUAUUGAGUAAAACUUAAAGCUUCUUUUUAAACUAAUAGCUUUAUUGCGAUAUA
ensembl:snRNA U4 U4 spliceosomal RNA